rnacentral:rRNA from 1 species
CUACGGGUCGCACCAGUGAGGAAUAUUGCACAAUGGGGGGAACCCUGAUGCAGCAACGCCGCGUGGAGGAUGACGCAUUUCGGUGUAUAAACUCCUUUUAUAUGUCAAAAAAAUGACGGUAGCAUAUGAAUAAGCACCGGCUAACUCCGUGCCAGCAGCCGCGGUAAUACGGAGGAUGCAAGCGUUACUCGGAAUCACUGGGCGUAAAGGACGCGUAGGCGGGUUGGAAAGUCAGGUGUGAAAUCCUACAGCUUAACUGUAGAACUGCACUUGAAACUUCUAAUCUAGAGUAUGGGAGGGGGAGAUGGAAUUAGUGGUGUAGGGGUAAAAUCCGUAGAUAUCACUAGGAAUACCUAAAGCGAAGGCGAUCUCCUGGAACAUUACUGACGCUAAGGCGUGAAAGCGUGGGGAGCAAACAGGAUUAGAUACCCUGGUAGUC